rnacentral:rRNA from 1 species
UAACACAUGCAAGUCGAACGAACCUUCGGGUUAGUGGCGGACGGGUGAGUAACGCGUGGGAAUCUGCCCUCAGGAGGGGGAUAACGGUUGGAAACGACCGCUAAUACCCCAUAUGCCGAGAGGUGAAACGAAUUUCGCCUGAGGAUGAGCCCGCGUCUGAUUAGCUAGUUGGUGUGGUAAUGGCUCACCAAGGCUUCGAUCAGUAGCUGGUCUGAGAGGAUGAUCAGCCACACUGGGACUGAGACACGGCCCAGACUCCUACGGGAGGCAGCAGUGGGGAAUUUUCCGCAAUGGGCGAAAGCCUGACGGAGCAACGCCGCGUGAGGGAUGAAGGCCUCUGGGCUGUAAACCUCUUUUCUCAAGGAAGAAGAUCUGACGGUACUUGAGGAAUAAGCCACGGCUAAUUCCGUGCCAGCAGCCGCGGUAAUACGGGAGUGGCAAGCGUUAUCCGGAAUUAUUGGGCGUAAAGCGUCCGUAGGCGGCUUUUCAAGUCUGCUGUUAAAACGUGGAGCUUAACUCCAUCAAGGCAGUGGAAACUGAUUGGCUUGAGUGUGGUAGGGGCAGAGGGAAUUCCCGGUGUAGCGGUGAAAUGCGUANAUAUCGGGAAGAACACCAGUGGCGAAGGCGCUCUGCUGGGGCCAUAAACUGACGCUCAUGG